rnacentral:lncRNA from 11 species
GCAGUCUCAACUCUAUAACUUGCUCUGAAGCUAGUUUGAAAUGAGUCAAGGAAGUGUGUGUCAUCCAAGGCUGCCUGAAGUUGGAGGACCUUCUCAAACACCUUGCCCAAAAAAGGAAGGAAUAAACUGAUGAGAAUAGAACCCAAGGUCCAUCACUGUCCUCUCCUGACUUCAACAGGUUGAACCCUGAGGCACCUCACAAAUGACGUCUCUCCAGGAUGAAGAGGAAUCCCAUUGGU